UGGGUCCUGCAAUACAUACAAGAUAUUACAGAAAGUGGCCCCUCUAACUUAGACCUAAUGGCCAGUUACCAUAUGACACUUCUCUAUAUAAGUCAUACUUUUCUCAUUUUGAAAAAUGGCAGUUUCCUGCAACAGCUCUCCCUUCUUGGUUCCACAAGCAGUAUUUAUCAAUAUGGCGUCUCUGUGGAAUGUUUCACUGUAGCCCUUCCUGUUAGAUUACAGUCAGCCAAGAGGAGACAAGGGACAGCUGUUAAUUAUUCUUUCAUUCUACAGAUUGUUCCCGAUUUGAGAUUGGCAGACUGUAAGAUUAUUGAGGAGAACACAAUGACAUUGCUCUUGGGUGGUCUCUGAUGGCCACUGCCUUUGGGUUUUCUUGCUGAAGUUCUCCACUUUUUCCAAAUGAUUUAUAGUUUAUAAAUAUUCAAGUUUAGACCCUGGCAGUUUAUCAUAGACCUUUGUCCUCUCUCUCUACCUUCAAGGCUACAUCAGUAUGUCUUCCUUCCACAGCCAGAAUGUAAUGGAAGGAUACACCCUAAGAUAGAUGCGCAUCUUCCUUCAUUUGAGCUACUCCCCUAGUCCAAAAGUUUCCUAAAGUCUAUGUGAUCUCUUGAAUCCCUGUUUAAAAAAAAAAAUCCACUCAAAAAAUAGCUUAUCCCAAAUUAUUAUUCCUACCAGUCACCAGGAAACUCGUGGCAGAUGUCUCCUUCUCCUAAAGAUCACAUUGUCAGUUAUAGGGUAAGGACUUAUAUCAGUAUUAAAUAUUGAAGUGCCACCUACCUCUCAGGCAUGGCCCUGUUUACCCUAAUCAUAAUUAACUUUCAAACUCUGUGUCCAGUGAGCUCCUUCAUGACACUUGCAAUCUCAACCAGAUGUAACCAACCACUUCCAUAUGAAGACUCCUCCAUGCCCUCCAUAUCUUUUGUGGUAUUAGUAUAUAAAGUUGGCAGAUCAACGCUUCCCUUUAGAGCAUACUACUGUCAGAACUGCAAGAUGUGAAUGAAGAUCUUAUGGCUUAGAUUGUCUCUCUGUAAGAAAUGUCUCCUAAACAAAGUAAAGUGUCCUGGCUUUUCUCUCCCCACCUCCUUUCAUAAUGGCCCAGUAGAAAAAAUCAUCCACUGAGUUUGAAGCAUAGAAGAAAAUAGCUGGUAAGGCUCUCUGCCAACCAUUCUGACUCUGUUUCCUUAGAUGCUCCCAGGAUACUUAAUGUGAAUAGUCUGUUAAUAUUGCUGUAAAGUAUUGUAUGAAGACAGACAUGUCAUUUUAUUAGACUCCAUCAAUCUAUAAUAUAUUAGACUGAUUCUUUAUCUCAAAUGCGAUGAGUUUGUAUAAUAUAUCUUGACAAAUUUUAUUACCGUGUUAUGUAACAAAUGUGUAUUUUUGUACCUUGCAGAAACUGCUGCUAACUUUUAAAUUGUUUGGUUUUUCAAGGCACUGAAAAUGGACAUGUACCAAGUCCAUGCUGUCAAAUAAAAUGCCACCCUGCAGCUAACAGUCCCACAG
rnacentral:lncRNA from 1 species